CCCCUGGUUUGAGAGUGCUCCCACCCCCUGGUUUGAGAGUGCUCCUACCCCCUGGUUUGAGAGUCUUCCCACCCCCUGGUUUGAGAGUGCUCCCACCCCCUGGUUUGAGAGUGCAUUCAGGAGGUGGCCGUUAUUCAUCCAGCAGCCAACAGAUGAGAUGUAAAGGUUAUUAUUGAUUUGGUGUAUUUUCAAAGUGUCUGAUUGGGGGAGAGGGGGGGGAAUGGAAAAUAAAACCGUAAUCUUUACGAAUAAAUGUUCUCCUGUUUAAUGUCAACUCAGUGAAUUUCCAGGUUUCUAUCGCCAGGAGAGUGGUCGUGGGAAGAGGCUCCCCCGCCUGCAUCAAAGGUUGUUGCUGCCGUUGCUACCAGAUAUGCACGCCUGCAGUAUAUUUUUUAAUCCCUCGACCAACAGACCGAACCCCUAAACGAUCGCAGGAGAUUUGCCUGCUUGAAGCGGGGCUGGGAAACAGAUCAAUAACUAUGGCUGGUGGAUGGAUGCCAUUAAGAGGUGAAUGAGAUUUUUUUUUUAAGGGUAUUUGUUUGUUGUUUGAUACGACAGAACACGGCUCGAUGACAUGCUGUUGUAAUUAUUGCUGCCAAGUCUGCGUCGGGCGGACCAUGGCAGUCUGACUACAUUUUGAACUAGUGAAUUGAAUGAGACCUCUAGUUUGGGGUGGGUAAUCCCAUAGUUUACCUUGAUGUGUAUGUUGUCUUCUCUUCAGUCUGUUAACCAGGACAGCAUGUUGUCUUCUCAGUCUGUUAACCAGGACAGCAUGUUGUCUUCUCAGUCUGUUAACCAGGACAACAUGUCUUCUCUUCAGUCUGUUAACCAGGACAGCAUGUUGUAUUCUCUUCAGUCUGUUAACCAAGACAGAAUGUUGUCUUCUCUUCUCAGUCUGUUAACAAUGACAACAUGUCUUCUCUUCAGUCUGUUAACCAGGACAGCAUGUUGUCUUCUCUUCUCUGUCUGUUAA
rnacentral:lncRNA from 13 species